GUUCGCGUGCGGUGUUGGCACGGUUCAAUCUGACUGCUGCCCUGCUAGUUGUGCAGUAUGGUGGUGCGAUUGAGCCGUGCCAAUAUCACACUCAAUCAG
rnacentral:pre_miRNA from 1 species